AUGGUGUCCCUGUGCCAGCUCAGACUGUCCCUGUGCCACUCUGUGGUGUCCCUGUGCCAUCUCAGAUUGUCCCCGUGCCCCUGGGCUGUGUCCCUGUGCCACCCUAUGGUGUCCCUGUGCCAGCUCAGAUUGUCCCUGUGCCCCUGGGCCGUGUCCCUGUGCCACUCUGUGGUGUCCCUGUGCCAUCUCAGAUUGUCCCCGUGCCCCUGGGCUGUGUCCCUGUGCCACCCUAUGGUGUCCCUGUGCCAGCUCAGAUUGUCCCUGUGCCCCUGGGCCGUGUCCCUGUGCCACUCUGUGGUGUCCCUGUGCCAUCUCAGAUUGUCCCCGUGCCCCUGGGCUGUGUCCCUGUGCCACCCUAUGGUGUCCCUGUGCCAGCUCAGAUUGUCCCUGUGCCCCUGGGCCGUGUCCCUGUGCCACUCUGUGGUGUCCCUGUGCCAUCUCAGAUUGUCCCCGUGCCCCUGGGCUGUGUCCCUGUGCCACCCUAUGGUGUCCCUGUGCCAGCUCAGAUUGUCCCUGUGCCCCUGGGCCGUGUCCCUGUGCCACUCUGUGGUGUCCCUGUGCCAUCUCAGAUUGUCCCCGUGCCCCUGGGCUGUGUCCCUGUGCCACCCUAUGGUGUCCCUGUGCCAGCUCAGAUUGUCCCUGUGCCCCUGGGCCGUGUCCCUGUGCCACUCUGUGGUGUCCCUGUGCCAUCUCAGAUUGUCCCCGUGCCCCUGGGCUGUGUCCCUGUGCCACCCUAUGGUGUCCCUGUGCCAGCUCAGAUUGUCCCUGUGCCCCUGGGCCGUGUCCCUGUGCCACUCUGUGGUGUCCCUGUGCCACUUUAUGGUGUCCCUGUCACACCAGGGUGUCCCUGUGCCCCUGGGCUGUGUCCCCGUGCCACUCUAUGAUGUCCCCGUGCCAGCUCAGACUGUCCCCGUGCCCCUGGGCCGUGUCCCCGUGCCACCCUGGGCUGUCCUGGUGCCACCCCUGCCCCCGGUGACCGCUCUGUCCCCCCCGUCCCCCUCACAGCCCGGGGUCUCUCCCAGUGCUCCCAGUUUGGCUCUCUCUCCCCAGGGCCCCUGUACUGGGAACCAGCAGAGCCUGGCCCACAGCCCGGGGUCUCUCCCAGUGCUCCCAGUUUGGCUCUCUCUCCCCAGGGCCCCUGUACUGGGAACCAGCAGAGCCUGGCCCACAGCCCGGGGUCUCUCCCAGUGCUCCCAGUUUGGCUCUCUCUCCCCAGGGCCCCUGUACUGGGAACCAGCAGAGCCUGGCCCACAGCCCGGGGUCUCUCCCAGUGCUCCCAGUUUGGCUCUCUCUCCCCAGGGCCCCUGUACUGGGAACCAGCAGAGCCUGGCCCACAGCCCGGGGUCUCUCCCAGUGCUCCCAGUUUGGCUCUCUCUCCCCAGGGCCCCUGUACUGGGAACCAGCAGAGCCUGGCCCACAGCCCGGGGUCUCUCCCAGUGCUCCCAGUUUGGCUCUCUCUCCCCAGGGCCCCUGUACUGGGAACCAGCAGAGCCUGGCCCACAGCCCGGGGUCUCUCCCAGUGCUCCCAGUUUGGCUCUCUCUCCCCAGGGCCCCUGUACUGGGAACCAGCAGAGCCUGGCCCACAGCCCGGGGUCUCUCCCAGUGCUCCCAGUUUGGCUCUCUCUCCCCAGGGCCCCUGUACUGGGAACCAGCAGAGCCUGGCCCACAGCCCGGGGUCUCUCCCAGUGCUCCCAGUUUGGCUCUCUCUCCCCAGGGCCCCUGUACUGGGAACCAGCAGAGCCUGGCCCACAGCCCGGGGUCUCUCCCAGUGCUCCCAGUUUGGCUCUCUCUCCCCAGGGCCCCUGUACUGGGAACCAGCAGAGCCUGGCCCACAGCCCGGGGUCUCUCCCAGUGCUCCCAGUUUGGCUCUCUCUCCCCAGGGCCCCUGUACUGGGAACCAGCAGAGCCUGGCCCACAGCCCGGGGUCUCUCCCAGUGCUCCCAGUUUGGCUCUCUCUCCCCAGGGCCCCUGUACUGGGAACCAGCAGAGCCUGGCCCACAGCCCGGGGUCUCUCCCAGUGCUCCCAGUUUGGCUCUCUCUCCCCAGGGCCCCUGUACUGGGAACCAGCAGAGCCUGGCCCACAGCCCGGGGUCUCUCCCAGUGCUCCCAGUUUGGCUCUCUCUCCCCAGGGCCCCUGUACUGGGAACCAGCAGAGCCUGGCCCACAGCCCGGGGUCUCUCCCAGUGCUCCCAGUUUGGCUCUCUCUCCCCAGGGCCCCUGUACUGGGAACCAGCAGAGCCUGGCCCACAGCCCGGGGUCUCUCCCAGUGCUCCCAGUUUGGCUCUCUCUCCCCAGGGCCCCUGUACUGGGAACCAGCAGAGCCUGGCCCACAGCCCGGGGUCUCUCCCAGUGCUCCCAGUUUGGCUCUCUCUCCCCAGGGCCCCUGUACUGGGAACCAGCAGAGCCUGGCCCACAGCCCGGGGUCUCUCCCAGUGCUCCCAGUUUGGCUCUCUCUCCCCAGGGCCCCUGUACUGGGAACCAGCAGAGCCUGGCCCACAGCCCGGGGUCUCUCCCAGUGCUCCCAGUUUGGCUCUCUCUCCCCAGGGCCCCUGUACUGGGAACCAGCAGAGCCUGGCCCACAGCCCGGGGUCUCUCCCAGUGCUCCCAGUUUGGCUCUCUCUCCCCAGGGCCCCUGUACUGGGAACCAGCAGAGCCUGGCCCACAGCCCGGGGUCUCUCCCAGUGCUCCCAGUUUGGCUCUCUCUCCCCAGGGCCCCUGUACUGGGAACCAGCAGAGCCUGGCCCACAGCCCGGGGUCUCUCCCAGUGCUCCCAGUUUGGCUCUCUCUCCCCAGGGCCCCUGUACUGGGAACCAGCAGAGCCUGGCCCACAGCCCGGGGUCUCUCCCAGUGCUCCCAGUUUGGCUCUCUCUCCCCAGGGCCCCUGUACUGGGAACCAGCAGAGCCUGGCCCACAGCCCGGGGUCUCUCCCAGUGCUCCCAGUUUGGCUCUCUCUCCCCAGGGCCCCUGUACUGGGAACCAGCAGAGCCUGGCCCACAGCCCGGGGUCUCUCCCAGUGCUCCCAGUUUGGCUCUCUCUCCCCAGGGCCCCUGUACUGGGAACCAGCAGAGCCUGGCCCACAGCCCGGGGUCUCUCCCAGUGCUCCCAGUUUGGCUCUCUCUCCCCAGGGCCCCUGUACUGGGAACCAGCAGAGCCUGGCCCACAGCCCGGGGUCUCUCCCAGUGCUCCCAGUUUGGCUCUCUCUCCCCAGGGCCCCUGUACUGGGAACCAGCAGAGCCUGGCCCACAGCCCGGGGUCUCUCCCAGUGCUCCCAGUUUGGCUCUCUCUCCCCAGGGCCCCUGUACUGGGAACCAGCAGAGCCUGGCCCACAGCCCGGGGUCUCUCCCAGUGCUCCCAGUUUGGCUCUCUCUCCCCAGGGCCCCUGUACUGGGAACCAGCAGAGCCUGGCCCACAGCCCGGGGUCUCUCCCAGUGCUCCCAGUUUGGCUCUCUCUCCCCAGGGCCCCUGUACUGGGAACCAGCAGAGCCUGGCCCACAGCCCGGGGUCUCUCCCAGUGCUCCCAGUUUGGCUCUCUCUCCCCAGGGCCCCUGUACUGGGAACCAGCAGAGCCUGGCCCACAGCCCGGGGUCUCUCCCAGUGCUCCCAGUUUGGCUCUCUCUCCCCAGGGCCCCUGUACUGGGAACCAGCAGAGCCUGGCCCACAGCCCGGGGUCUCUCCCAGUGCUCCCAGUUUGGCUCUCUCUCCCCAGGGCCCCUGUACUGGGAACCAGCAGAGCCUGGCCCACAGCCCGGGGUCUCUCCCAGUGCUCCCAGUUUGGCUCUCUCUCCCCAGGGCCCCUGUACUGGGAACCAGCAGAGCCUGGCCCACAGCCCGGGGUCUCUCCCAGUGCUCCCAGUUUGGCUCUCUCUCCCCAGGGCCCCUGUACUGGGAACCAGCAGAGCCUGGCCCACAGCCCGGGGUCUCUCCCAGUGCUCCCAGUUUGGCUCUCUCUCCCCAGGGCCCCUGUACUGGGAACCAGCAGAGCCUGGCCCACAGCCCGGGGUCUCUCCCAGUGCUCCCAGUUUGGCUCUCUCUCCCCAGGGCCCCUGUACUGGGAACCAGCAGAGCCUGGCCCACAGCCUGGGGUCUCUCCCAGUGCUCCCAGUUCGGCUCUCUCUCCCCAGGGCCCCUGUACUGGGAACCAGCAGAGCCUGGCCCACAGCCCGGGGUCUCUCCCAGUGCUCCCAGUUUGGCUCUCUCUCCCCAGGGCCCCUGUACUGGGAACCAGCAGAGCCUGGCCCACAGCCCGGGGUCUCUCCCAGUGCUCCCAGUUUGGCUCUCUCUCCCCAGGGCCCCUGUACUGGGAACCAGCAGAGCCUGGCCCACAGCCCGGGGUCUCUCCCAGUGCUCCCAGUUUGGCUCUCUCUCCCCAGGGCCCCUGUACUGGGAACCAGCAGAGCCUGGCCCACAGCCCGGGGUCUCUCCCAGUGCUCCCAGUUUGGCUCUCUCUCCCCAGGGCCCCUGUACUGGGAACCAGCAGAGCCUGGCCCACAGCCCGGGGUCUCUCCCAGUGCUCCCAGUUUGGCUCUCUCUCCCCAGGGCCCCUGUACUGGGAACCAGCAGAGCCUGGCCCACAGCCCGGGGUCUCUCCCAGUGCUCCCAGUUUGGCUCUCUCUCCCCAGGGCCCCUGUACUGGGAACCAGCAGAGCCUGGCCCACAGCCCGGGGUCUCUCCCAGUGCUCCCAGUUUGGCUCUCUCUCCCCAGGGCCCCUGUACUGGGAACCAGCAGAGCCUGGCCCACAGCCCGGGGUCUCUCCCAGUGCUCCCAGUUUGGCUCUCUCUCCCCAGGGCCCCUGUACUGGGAACCAGCAGAGCCUGGCCCACAGCCCGGGGUCUCUCCCAGUGCUCCCAGUUUGGCUCUCUCUCCCCAGGGCCCCUGUACUGGGAACCAGCAGAGCCUGGCCCACAGCCGCCUCUGGGACGCCGUGGUCGGGUUCCUGCACGUGUUCGCUCACAUGA
rnacentral:lncRNA from 1 species